CCGUGACUGGGGCUGCCGGAAGUUCGCUCGUCCUUGAUGAGGUGACUUACCUGUUUACUUUUCAGUCAGCAUUCAGUGCUCCUCAGCCAUCUCAGCACGUACCUGUCAUAUCGCGUUUGGGCUUGACAGCUGCUACCUUUUUCCAUUCUACUCUAGCGUUCCUUCUCACUUUAAAAUGUUCCAUGAAGGAUGUCACAAAGCAAUUGCUUCCCAAUACUGGACAAGUCCUAAGAGAAAGCUUUUAUACCUCAAUAUGUGACCCAAUGAGAGAUGGGUUUCAAAACUUCAAGAUACCUGAUGUGGAUGUAAGGUAGAAGGAAUAAAGCAACCAAACAGAAUAUCAAGUUCAAAAUCUGACUGCAGCUAUAUCAAGAGAAUCCCUGACCCAUAAUUCUUCCCAUCUGAAAGAAAUGCAAGGAUGGAAAUGGAGAAGAACCUGAGGAAAAGAACAUCCAGCGACAGGCCCAAAGUGGGAUCCAGCUCAAGGGGAGGCCCGAAAAUCUGACAGGAUUACUGAAGUUUUGAGGCAUUCACAAAAAGGAAUCUACCAUAACUGUUCUCAAAAAUACCCAAGGAACUGAAAGAGUCAGAUGCUGAUAUGUGCACCCAACCAAUGAACAGAAACUGCUGAGCCCUCUGGUUGAAUUAGGGAAAAGCUGGAGGGCAACCCUGUAGGAGGACCAGCAGUCUUAAUUAAUCUGGACUCCUGAGAUCUCUCAGACACUGGAUCACCAACUAGGCUGAAUACACCAGCCAAGAUGAGGCCUCCAGCACAUGUAUAGCAGAGGACUGCUGGGUCUGGGUUCAGUCAGAGAAGAUACACCUAACCCUCAAGAGACAGGAAGCCCCAGGAAUUUUAAGGUGUGGUAGGGUGGGAGUGGGUGUGAGGGGGUGCAGGGAGGAGGUAUGGGAUCUGAAACUAAGGGGGUGAACUGGAAUGGGAAUAAAAUCUGGAGUAUAAAAAUUAAUACAUAAAAAAAUUAAAAAUUAAAAAAGAGAACAGCUUUACUUCCUAAUUGUAGUAUUUUUCCAACACUACAAUCAAGAUACUCAUUUAAACUGUGAAAUAUACAGAUUGAAUUUGGGCACUGGAAGUGAUCAUUUUCUUCUGAAACCCCUGAGUAAUUGGAUGACUUAGAGAGUAGAUUUCAUUACCCUCAGUACAUUAAAGACUCUUUCAGCAAACGAAUUAUAUUAUAUUUUGUAAACUCCUCAAAUGACCCAUUUUUGGUCUGAAGAUUUCUAGAUCAAUAAACCAUGAAGAAUGAACAAA